GUUGUUGUUAAGCCAACAAUUGUUUCAGCUGCUCCAGUUAUUUCAACUGUGACUACAACAGUUCCAAUUUCAAGACCUAUUGCAAAAGGUAUUGUAAUUGUGAAUCAAAGUGAUGUCUCUUCGUCAAAGAAUGUAGCUCCUUCAAAUGUUAAAGACAAGGGAAAAGGUUUGGUUGAGNCCUUCGAAUGUUAAAGACAAGGGAAAAGGAGUUUUGGUUGAGAAGUCUAACAAAGAAAAGAAAGCUGAGGUGGCAGCUGAGGUUGAAAGAAUGAG
rnacentral:lncRNA from 1 species